AGCGAACGCUGGCGGUAGGCCUAACACAUGCAAGUCGAACGGCAGCACAGUAAGAGCUUGCUCUUACGGGUGGCGAGUGGCGGACGGGUGAGGAAUACAUCGGAAUCUACUCUUUCGUGGGGGAUAACGUAGGGAAACUUACGCUAAUACCGCAUACGACCUACGGGUGAAAGCAGGGGAUCUUCGGACCUUGCGCGAUUGAAUGAGCCGAUGUCGGAUUAGCUAGUUGGCGGGGUAAAGGCCCACCAAGGCGACGAUCCGUAGCUGGUCUGAGAGGAUGGUCAGCCACACUGGAACUGAGACACGGUCCAGACUCCUACGGGAGGCAGCAGUGGGGAAUAUUGGGCAAUGGGCGCGAGCCUGAUCCAGCCAUACCGCGUGGGUGAAGAAGGCCUUCGGGUUGUAAAGCCCUUUUGUUGGGAGAGAAAAGCAGCAGGUUAAUACCCCGCUGUUCUGACGGUACCCAAAGAAUAAGCACCGGCUAACUUCGUG
rnacentral:rRNA from 1 species